rnacentral:rRNA from 1 species
AUCGAACGCUGGCGGAAUGCUUUACACAUGCAAGUCGAACGGCAGCACGGACUUCGGUCUGGUGGCGAGUGGCGAACGGGUGAGUAACGUAUCGGAACGUGCCCAGUCGUGGGGGAUAACGUAGUGAAAAUUACGCUAAUACCGCAUACGAUCUAUGGAUGAAAGCGGGGGAUCGCAAGACCUCGCGCGAUUGGAGCGGCCGAUAUCAGAUUAGGUAGUUGGUGGGGUAAAGGCCCACCAAGCCAACGAUCUGUAGCUGGUCUGAGAGGACGACCAGCCACACUGGAACUGAGACACGGUCCAGACUCCUACGGGAGGCAGCAGUGGGGAAUUUUGGACAGUGGGCGAAAGCCUGAUCCAGCCAUUCCGCGUGCAGGAUGAAGGCCCUCGGGUUGUAAACUGCUUUUGUACAGAACGAAAAGGUUUCUACUAAUACUAGGAGCUCAUGACGGUACUGUAAGAAUAAGCACCGGCUAACUACGUGCCAGCAGCCGCCGUAA